UGAGGAAUAUUGGGCAAUGGGCGAAAGCCUGACCCAGCAACGCCGCGUGGAGGACGAAGGCCUUCGGGUCGUAAACUCCUUUUACGGGGGAAGAGGAAGGACGGUACCCCGAGAAUAAGUCACGGCUAACUACGUGCCAGCAGCCGCGGUAAUACGUAGGUGACAAGCGUUAUCCGGAAUUACUGGGCGUAAAGCGCACGCAGGCGGCGCCUUAAGUCUGGCGUGAAAUCUCUCGGCUUAACCGGGAGGGGUCGUUGGAGACUGAGGUGCUUGAGGCGAUGAGAGGGGUGUAGAAUUCCCGGUGUAGUGGUGGAAUGCGUAGAUAUCGGGAGGAAUACCAGUGGCGAAAGCGACACCCUGGCGUUAGCCUGACGCUCAUGUGCGAAAGCGUGGGGAGCGAACG
rnacentral:rRNA from 1 species